rnacentral:rRNA from 1 species
GACGAACGCUGGCGGCGUGCUUAACACAUGCAAGUCGAACGGAAAGGCCUCUUUCGGGGGGUACUCGAGUGGCGAACGGGUGAGUAACACGUGAGUAACCUGCCCUUGACUUUGGGAUAACUUCAGGAAACUGGGGCUAAUACCGGAUAGGAGCUCCUGCUGCAUGGUGGGGGUUGGAAAGUUUCGGCGGUUGGGGAUGGACUCGCGGCUUAUCAGCUUGUUGGUGGGGUAGUGGCUUACCAAGGCUUUGACGGGUAUCCGGCCUGAGAGGGUGACCGGCCACAUUGGGACUGAGAUACGGCCCAGACUCCUACGGGAGGCAGAAGGGGGGAAGAUUGCACAAUGGGUGGAAGCCUGAUGCAGCAACGCCGUGUGCGGGAUGACGGCCUUCGGGCUGUAAAACGCUUUCGCUCAUGACGAAGCUUUGUGUGACGGUAGUGGGUAAAGAAGCACCGGCUAACUACGUG